ACAAACUGUAAUCAAACUCCUUAGACACUAACCGUCUCUGGCGCAAGUAGCAAAGGGCUUGGUAGUUGGUACCCGAGAUCUUAAGUUCGAAUCCUAGUUGAUUAAUAUUUUCAACUAAGUUUAUUUCUAAAUAAAAUAAACAAAACAGAUAGCAUGCUACUUAUCUCUAUAAAAAAAAAACUCCUUAGACAUUUUACACUAAUUAAAUACAAAAUCUA
rnacentral:lncRNA from 1 species